rnacentral:tRNA from 31 species
GCACCCGUAGCUCAGCUGGAUAGAGCGCUGCCCUCCGAAGGCAGAGGUCGUGAGUUCGAAUCUCGCCGGGUGCGCCA